CGGAACGUGGCGAACGGGUGAGUAAUGAAUGAAUAACCUGCCCUCGAGAGCGGGAUAAUCCAUCGAAAGGUGGGGUAAUACCGGAUAGUACAGCUUGCUGUUAAAGGUGGCUUCGGCUAUCACUUGAGGAGGGGUUCAUUUCCUAUUAGCUUGUUGGUGAGGUAACGGCUCACCAAUGCAGAGAUGGGUAGGGGGCCUUAGCGGGUGAUCCCCCACACUGGGACUGAGACACUGCCCAGGUUCCUACGGGAGGCUGCAAUCGAGAAUCCUCCGCAAUGGGCGAAAGCCUGACGGGGUGACGCCGCGUGGACGAUGAAGGCCUAUCAGGUUGUAAAGUCCUAACAGGGAGUAUGAAAUGUAUAUCGGAUAAUACUCGGUAUACUUGACAUCAAUCCCAGAUGAAGUCACGGCUAAAUAUGUGCCAGCAGCCGCGGUAAGACAUAUGUGGCGAGCGUUGUUCGGAAUUACUGGGCAUAAAGGGCGCGCAGGCGGUAUAGUCAGUUAACUUGUGAAAUCCCCCGGCUUAACCGGGGAAUUGCGGUUAAUACUGCUAUACUUGAGUACGAGGGGGGAGAGUGGAAUUCUGGGUGUAGCGGUGGAAUGCGAAGAUAUCCAGGAGAAGGCCGGUGGCGAAAGCGACUCUCUGGUUCGAUACUGACGCUGAGGCGCGAGAGCGUAGGUAGCGAACGGGAUUAGAUACCCCGGUAGUCUACGCUGUACAUGAUGGGCACUGGAUGGGGGGGGCGCCGAUAGCUCUCUCCGGCGAAGUUAAUGCGUUAAGUGCCCCGCCUGGGGACUACGGUCGCAAGGUUAAACUCAAAGGAUUUGACGGGGGCCCACACAAGCGGUGCACGACUGCGGCNUAAUUCGAGGACACGCGUAGAACCUUACCGAGGCUUGACAUGCAGGGAUUAAUCCGGCGAUAGCCGGAGGAUUACCUUACGGUGUAACCUGUACAGGUGCUGCAUGGCUGUCGACAGUUCGUGUCGUGAGAUGUUAGGUUAAGUCCUGAAACGAG
rnacentral:rRNA from 1 species